rnacentral:sRNA from 1 species
UGCGGCUUUUGGCAUUUUCAUUUCUCUUUGGGGAAUAUUAAU